UACGUAGGGUGCAAGCGUUGUCCGGAAUUAUUGGGCGUAAAGAGCUCGUAGGCGGUCUGUCGCGUCUGGUGUGAAAACUCAGGGCUUAACCCUGAGCUUGCAUCGGGUACGGGCAGACUAGAGUGCGGUAGGGGAGACUGGAAUUCCUGGUGUAGCGGUGAAAUGCGCAGAUAUCAGGAGGAACACCGGUGGCGAAGGCGGGUCUCUGGGCCGAAACUGACGCUGAGGAGCGAAAGCGUGGGGAGCGAACAGG
rnacentral:rRNA from 1 species